GAUGAACGCUGGCGGCGUGCCUAAUACAUGCAAGUCGAGCGAACAGACGAGGAGCUUGCUCCUCUGACGUUAGCGGCGGACGGGUGAGUAACACGUGGAUAACCUACCUAUAAGACUGGGAUAACUUCGGGAAACCGGAGCUAAUACCGGAUAAUAUAUUGAACCGCAUGGUUCAAUAGUGAAAGACGGUUUUGCUGUCACUUAUAGAUGGAUCCGCGCCGCAUUAGCUAGUUGGUAAGGUAACGGCUUAACAAGGCAACGAUGCGUAGCCGACCUGAGAGGGAGAUCGGCCACACUGGAACUGAGACACGGUCCAGACUCCUACGGGAGGAAGCAGUAGGGAAUCUUCCGCGAUGGGCGAAAGCCUGACGGAGCAACGCCGCGUGAAUGAUGAAGGUCUUCGGAUCGUAAAACUCUGUUAUUAGGGAAGAACAAAUGUGUAAGUAACUAUGCACGUCUUGACGGUACCUAAUCAGAAAGCCACGGCUAACUACGUG
rnacentral:rRNA from 1 species